GCCUGCGCCUACCUGGUGCCCGCGCUCCGGCCGCGCCGCCCGCUGCUCCCCGCGGAGAGCCGCUCCGUCCUGGGUCGAGCGCAGCGACGCACUGGACGGCCGCAGCACCUGGCCCUGGGGAAAUUACUAGCCGGGAAGUAGGUAAAGAUUGUUCCUGAGAAUUGGCUUUUCUAGCAAGUUCCCAUGUGAUGCUGAUGAUGCUAUUCUGUGAACCUGACUCAGAACCACUUGAGUAUUCCUUGAGUAACAAGAAAUUUGACAGAGAGUUUCUCUCUGGAACUCUGGAAGAGUUGAGACUGUUCAAGGAAAUUUGAGUACUGAUGCUGGUCACCUCCGCUAUCCCAG